rnacentral:misc_RNA from 1 species
AAUAUUUUUACAAAUAUAACUUAAUUUCAUAUUAAUUAAAUUUUCCUCUAAUUUUUUGUCCAAACUGCUCCUAAACCACCCUCCAAAUCGUCUUGAACUGUCUUUUUUCAAAUCAUUUUAAAAUGGGGCUUGAACUGGACCAAUAAUUUAAGAAACGUCUCUCAAACCGUCCUAUGACAGUUUGGCUCAAGUUAAUGAUUUCAUUGAACCUAACCAUGGCCACCUCUAGUAGCAA